rnacentral:rRNA from 1 species
UUCGCAAUGCCCGAAAGGGUGACGAAGCGACGCCGCGUGGGUGAGGGAGGCCUUCGGGUUGUAAAGCCCUGUCAGGAGUUAAGAAGUGCAGGCACGCUAAUAUCGUGCCUGUUUGACAAAGGCUCCAAAGGAAGCCACGGCUAACUCUGUGCCAGCAGCCGCGGUAAUACAGAGGUGGCAAGCGUUGUUCGGAAUUUUUGGGCGUAAAGAGCACGUAGGUGGAUUUGUAAGUCAGACGUGAAAGCCUCCUGUUCAACGGGAGAAUUGCAUCUGGAACUGCAAACCUUGAGUAUAGGAGGGGAGAAUGGAACUUCUGGUGGAGCGGUGAAAUGCGUAGAUAUCAGAAGGAACGCCGGCGGCGAAAGCGAUUCUCUGGCCUAUAACUGACACUCAGUGUGCGAAAGAUAGGGGAGCAAACGGGAUUAGAUACCCCGGUAGUCCUAGCCGUAAACGAUGGGCACUAAGUAGAGGGGUUUU